CUGGAGAGAGUGAUCUGAUUCUUCUGAAGCGCAUGUCAGAGAGGAGGAGGAGGGAGGGAAUGAACCAGGAAGAGCGAGCGAGAGAGAGAAGGCAGCCUCCGGUUGACAGUACAUGGAGGUCUGCAGGAGCUCCAGAACCAGGAAGCAUCCCUUGCUGCUGCGCCUGGUGUGUGUUCCGCCUGCUGCUAUCACAAGGGGCUGCAGGGCUUUCAUCACCACUGAAUGGUAUGCUGUCCUGAUGUCUCUCUCAAAGCCAGGAGGACUGACGUGGCGUCAGAGACUUCCAGGUUCUCUGUGGAUCAGCCCCUGAGAGCUGUAGGAUCCACGCAGGAGGAUGCAGGGCCUCAGGAGGAACAGCUCCAGCCAGCUCUGACUUCUGGUGGGGCAGGACAGCUGGUGUUGUGAAUCAGGCCGCUAUAGUGCCAGACACGGCUUCUUCCCAACACCAGGGUCACACCCCACUGUCCGCAGCACCGAAGCCCCGGAGCCCAGCCCUCUCCCUCACCGGCAGCAAGGCACAGCAGCAGAUCACAGGAGGACAGAUCAAAAUGCAUGCCGAGACUAGUGGAGGAUGUCUUUCAAAAACAGACUAGUCAAAGUUAAUUACAAAUAAACUAAAUAUUCCACUGUGUGUCUGGGGCAUAAGAGGAGGAUUUGAGCAUCGUCCGAAGCAUAACCACCAUUGUUUAAUUCUCAAUUGUGAUUAAAGUAGAGUUGUAUUGUAUUGACUUGCCCUAUGACAGUUUCUGUGUGUCUGCACACUAGGACUAGGAUUCAACAUCAGUGAACUAUCAGAGCAUAAGACAGUACAACUAGAGAGAGGACAGUGCCUCUCUGAACAAGUGUGAUGGGAACAGUGGCGGUUCUAGACCAUUUCAACUGGGGGGGGGGCCAAGCUGGGGCCAGUUGUACUGUUAGAGGGGCCAGUUACAUUAGACGUUAUUGUUGUCAUAUCGUUUUCUUCACUGCAUUGCAGGCAUUAGCAGGCAAAAGACCAUGUUCAUAAUCAUUAGUGUUCCGCGUUGCCACUGUCUAAUAACAGAUGUAAAAAAAGAAGGAUAGCAAAAAUUUGUUAUGUAAAAAUUAUUUCAUACUCCACAAAGCAUGACAAAUGAAAGGCUGGGUGUAUUCCUUUGUCUGGGAUUAAAUUGAAAAUGGAUUUUGAUGUUAGUCUCAGUCUUAGUAUCAGUACGCUUUGUUGGCAUCCCUCUGUGCUGCUUUUAUUUCACUUUAUAUUAUAUACUUUUAUUAAAACUCAUCAAAGGACUUUUUAUUUGUUAUUCGUUACGGAACGAAUGUUAUGUUUUCAUUGUGUGGUGGUAGUUUGUGAGUGAAAGUGUUUAAGUACAAUUGUGAAUUAGUUUUUGCAUCAUUAUUCCAAUAAUAAAGCAGGAUACAUGUGAACAACUA